rnacentral:rRNA from 1 species
GACAGAGGGUGCCAAGCGUUAGGUCGGAAUCACUGGGCUUAAAGCGUGUGUAGGCGGGUCGUAAGUACUUGGUGAAUACCACCGGGCUCAACCGUGGAACUGACUCGGUGUACUGGGCGAUCGUUUGGGGCCACUUUAGGGGCGUAGCGGAACAAAACGGUAGGAGCGGUGAAAUGCGUAGACUAUCGUUGGAACGCCAAUGGUGAAAACAGCUAGCUGGGAGUGUGCCGA